UACGUAGGGGGCAAGCGUUGUCCGGAAUCAUUGGGCGUAAAGCGCGCGUAGGCGGCCCGGUAAGUCCGUUGUGAAAGUCAAAGGCUCAACCUUUGAACGCCGAUGGAUACUGCCGGGCUAGAGUCCGGAAGAGGCGAGUGGAAUUCCUGGUGUAGCGGUGGAAUGCGCAGAUAUCAGGAGGAACACCAAUAGCGAAGGCAGCUCGCUGGGACGGUAACUGACGCUGAGGCGCGAAAGCGUGGGGAGCGAACAGGA
rnacentral:rRNA from 1 species